GACGACCCCUGGCGGCGCGCCUAACACAUGCAAGUCGAACGAGCGAGAGAGAGCUUGCUUUCUCGAGCGAGUGGCGAACGGGUGAGUAACGCGUGAGGAACCUGCCUCAAAGAGGGGGACAACAGUUGGAAACGACUGCUAAUACCGCAUAAGCCCACGACCCGGCAUCGGGUAGAGGGAAAAGGAGCAAUCCGCUUUGAGAUGGCCUCGCGUCCGAUUAGCUAGUUGGUGAGGUAAUGGCCCACCAAGGCGACGAUCGGUAGCCGGACUGAGAGGUUGAACGGCCACAUUGGGACUGAGACACGGCCCAGACUCCUACGGGAGGCAGCAGUGGGGAAUAUUGCACAAUGGGGGAAACCCUGAUGCAGCGACGCCGCGUGGAGGAAGAAGGUCUUCGGAUUGUAAACUCCUGUUGUUGAGGAAGAUAAUGACGGUACUCAACAAGGAAGUGACGGCUAACUACGUGCCAGCAGCCGCGGUAAAACGUAGGUCACAAGCGUUGUCCGGAAUUACUGGGUGUGAAAGGAGCGCAGGCGGGAAGACAAGUUGGAAGUGAAAUCCAUGGGCUCAACCCAUGAACUGCUUUCAAAACUGUUUUUCUUGAGUAGUGCAGAGGUAGGCGGAAUUCCCGGUGUAGCGGUGGAAUGCGUAGAUAUCGGGAGGAACACCAGUGGCGAAGGCGGCCUACUGGGCACCAACUGACGCUGAGGCUCGAAAGUGUGGGUAGCAAACAAGGUUAGAUACCCUGGUAGUCCACACUGUAA
rnacentral:rRNA from 1 species